CCUACGGGGUGCAGCAGUGGGGACUAUUGCACAAUGGGGGAAACCCUGAUGCAGCGACGCCGCGUGAGUGAAGAAGUAUUUCGGUAUGUAAAGCUCUAUCAGCAGGAACGAGACAAGACGGUACCUGACUAAGAAGCCCCGGCUAACUACGUGCCAGCAGCCGCGGUAAAACGUAGGGGGCCAGCGUUAUCCGGAAUCACUGGGUGGAAAGGGAGCGUAGACGGCUGAGCAAGCCUGAAGGGAAAGGCGGGGGUCCAACCCCCGGACUGCUUUGGGAACUGUACGGCUGGAGUGCAGGAGAGGUAAGUGGAAGUCCUAGUGGAGCGGUGAAAUGCGUAGAUAUUAGGAGGAACACCAGUGGCGAAGGCGGCUUACUGGACUGUAACUGACGUUGAGGCUCGAAAGCGUGGGGAGCAAACAGGAUUAGAUACCACGGUAGUC
rnacentral:rRNA from 1 species